UGCCAACAGCAAGGCAAGGUGCACACCGAC
rnacentral:piRNA from 1 species